CUGCUGCCUUCCGUAGGAGUUUGGGCCGUGUCUCAGUCCCAAUGUGGCCGUCCACCCUCUCAGGCCGGCUACUGAUCGUCGCCUUGGUGGGCCGUUACCCCGCCAACAAGCUAAUCAGACGCGGGUCCAUCUUAUACCACCGGAGUUUUUCACACUGGGCCAUGCAGCCCCGUGCGCUUAUGCGGUAUUAGCACCUAUUUCUAAGUGUUAUCCCCCUGUAUAAGGCAGGUUACCCACGCGUUACUCACCCGUCCGCCACUAAGA
rnacentral:rRNA from 1 species